GGCAGAUCACGAGGUCAGGAGAUAGGGACCAUCCUGGCUAACACGGUGAAACCCCAUCUCUACUAAAAAUACAAAAAAUUAGCUGGGUGUGGUGGCGGGCACCCGUAGUUCCAAAUACCUAUUUUUCUCUCUGUGAGAUGCAGGGCACUUAUCUGUCAGCGCCAUCAGGAAGUGGGAACCAGCAGAGCGAGGACGCUGGGAAUUUCAGCAUAUCCUGAUUUCAGCCCCUGGAAUGUACAAUUGGCACCAGAUUUUAUGCCAAAUUUCAGUACA
rnacentral:lncRNA from 1 species